rnacentral:lncRNA from 1 species
GGUGAGUGGAAUCUGAAAAUGAAAUCUAACAUUUACCAAAGAUACAGAGAAGGAGGAAGAGACUGGAUUCGUUGUUCCGGCCCCUGAGUCUAGUCAGUCAGUUCUACUCUUGGGCUUUGUAGUUCUGUUCAUCAGUGAACUCUUCUGUUUUGUUGAAACCAGUUGGAGAAGGGUUUCCAGAAACCUGCACUUGAAGAGCAUCAGCUGGCACAGAGAUCUUGGCUGAACCCACUGCUGUGUUUGACUAGGAAUGAGAGUGGGCACACGGAGAGGGCAGCCCACCAGGCAGUUUGCAGACAACUCCAAACUCCACACUUGGGUUUUCUCUUCUG